rnacentral:rRNA from 1 species
UACGUAGGGUGCGAGCGUUAAUCGGAAUUACUGGGCGUAAAGCGUGCGCAGGCGGCGCGUUAAGACAGAUGUGAAAUCCCCGGGCUCAACCUGGGAACUGCAUUUGUGACUGCAUCGCUGGAGUGCGGCAGAGGGGGAUGGAAUUCCGCGUGUAGCAGUGAAAUGCGUAGAUAUGCGGAGGAACACCGAUGGCGAAGGCAAUCCCCUGGGCCUGCACUGACGCUCAUGCACGAAAGCGUGGGGAGCAAACAGG